rnacentral:lncRNA from 1 species
AUCCGAUAACACUGUGCAACGCGAGUGCCUGUGUGCAUGUGUGUCAUUGACUCAGAGUGACAGCGUGUUUCCAAAUUUGUAAGAAACACAGUGAAUUAUGGCCUCAUUAGUUCCUGUUUUCCAAUGCCUUAUAAGAGGACCCUAACUCCCUGUCUCUACAUCAGAACAGCAGCUAGUGUUUAGCAGCUAGCGUUAGGGACAUAGCUACCAUUUGAAGAUGUGUGUGUUUUUCUCUGUUAGCCGUGUGCUGUGUCUACUGGCGCUGACCAUGGCCAUCCUCUCCUCUACAUUGGAAGUGCGUUCCCAGGGAAUGAGGCCUCUAAAUUGCUGUUUGAAGACAUCCAAAAAACGUCCAGCAGAACCAAUCACACUGUGUCUUAUUCAGAUGCCUCGUGGGAAAUGUAACCUCAAAGCAUACAUUUUCGCCAGUGGGGAGCAGUGGAAGUGCAUCAACCCCAAAGCCAGAUGGCUCUCUGCUGAGCUAGCAUCACUGGAACAGAGAGGAAUACAGUGUGACCCACUGAUUAAAUAACCAUCAGACCAUGAUCCUAGAUCCUCAUCAUCGUCAGCAGCAGGUUCAGCAGCCUCUCUCAAGCAGGAACUACAGAACUAAGAUCUCUCUCAAGCAGGAACUACAGAACUAAGAUCUCUCUCAAGCAGGAACUACAGAACUAAGAUCUCUCUCAACCAGGAACUACAGAACUAAGAUCUCUCUCAACCAGGAACUACAGAACUAAGAUCUCUCUCAACCAGGAACUACAGAACUAAGAUAAUAAGAAGACAGUGAAAAUGAAGAUUAUGAUUUGUGUGAUUUAAGUAUUUCAAGCUGUCUUUAUCAUUUUAUUUAUUUAUGUAUUUAUUUAUUUCAACCUCAUCCCGGCAUUAAUUUAUUGUACUCAAUUCAUUAAGGUGUUUUAAAGGCAUUUGUAUUUAUUUAUUUCCUCUGUCCUUUUUUUAUGCUGUGAUAAUAACAUAACUUUGUUUGUAUAAAGUCUUUCAUUCUCAAAGUGCUUUACAGUGAUACAAAAUAAAGAAUGGGAGACCUAUCUGAGUAUCUCCAUAGUAACGAGACCCUGUAAUGGCUGCAUAAAGGUUAAAGGUGUGACACUCAAUCGUGUCACUGGGCUGUGGUCAUGGUGAUGACACUGCCCAUCCGUUCUACCAACAAAGCCAUUCCCUCAGUCCCUGACCAUAUCCUCUUCCACUAGUCACUAGUCCUUGUCCUUGUCCUUAACCCCUUUAGUUCACAAUGGAGCCCCUAGUUCCACUCUUCAUACCCCUGAUAACUCCUUUGUCCCACCUCCCACACAUGCGGUGA